CGAGAAGACCGGGUGGUCGCGGCGAGCUGGAACCAAUCCCACGCUGGGAUGAGGCCGCACGUCGAGGAAAGUCCGGACUCCACAGAGCACGGUGGUUGCUAACGGCAACCCAGGGUGACCUGCGGGACAGUGCCACAGAAAACAAACCGCCCGCUUCGCGGGUAAGGGUGAAAAGGUGCGGUAAGAGCGCACCAGCACGCCAGGUGACUGGGGUGGCUAGGUAAACCCCACCGGGAGCAAGGUCAAGUAGUUGCACGGCUCGUUCCGUGCGGCUGAGUUCCAGAGCUGCUCGCUUGCUGAUGAACAGGUAGACCGCUUGAGGUGCCCAGCAAUGGUGCGCCCAGAUGGAUGGCCGCCUCGCGCUGAGGACACCUUCGGGUGGAAUGAGCGUAGGACAAAAUCCGGCUCAUAGGUCUUCUCGGCGU
rnacentral:RNase_P_RNA from 1 species